GAUGAACGCUAGCGGCAGGCUUAACACAUGCAAGUCGAGGGGCAGCAUUGGUACUUGUAUCAGAUGGCGACCGGCGCACGGGUGCGUAACGCGUAUAGAACCUACCUUUUACUAUGGGAUAGCCCGAAGAAAUUUGGAUUAAUACCGUAUGAUAAUUUAGAUCGUCAUCGAUUUAGAUUUAAAGAUUUAUCGGUAAGAGAUGGCUAUGCGUUCUAUUAGCUAGUCGGUGAGGUAACGGCUUACCGAGGCUACGAUAGAUAGGGGUCCUGAGAGGGAGAUCCCCCACACUGGUACUGAGACACGGACCAGACUCCUACGGGAGGCAGCAGUGAGGAAUAUUGGACAAUGGAGGCAACUCUGAUCCAGCCAUGCCGCGUGUAGGAAGACUGCCCUAUGGGUUGUAAACUACUUUUAUAGAGGAAGAAUAGGUAUUACGUGUAAUAUUUUGACGGUACUCUACGAAUAAGGAUCGGCUAACUCCG
rnacentral:rRNA from 1 species